GACGAACGCUGGCGGCGUGCUUAACACAUGCAAGUCGAACGAAGAGCGAUGGAAGCUUGCUUCUAUCACUCUUAGUGGCGAACGGGUGAGUAACGCGUAAUCAACCUGCCCUUCAGAGGGGGACAACAGUUGGAAACGACUGCUAAUACCGCAUACGAUCUAAUCUCGGCAUCGAGGAUAGAUGAAAGGUGGCCUCUACAUGUAAGCUAUCACUGAAGGAGGGGAUUGCGUCUGAUUAGCUAGUUGGAGGGGUAACGGCCCACCAAGGCGAUGAUCAGUAGCCGGUCUGAGAGGAUGAACGGCCACAUUGGGACUGAGACACGGCCCAGACUCCUACGGGAGGCAGCAGUGGGGAAUCUUCCGCAAUGGACGAAAGUCUGACGGAGCAACGCCGCGUGAGUGAUGACGGCCUUCGGGUUGUAAAGCUCUGUUAAUCGGGACGAAAGGCCUUCUUGCGAAUAGGGAGAAGGAUUGACGGUACCGGAAUAGAAAGCCACGGCUAACUACGUG
rnacentral:rRNA from 1 species